rnacentral:rRNA from 1 species
UACGGAGGGUGCGAGCGUUACUCGGAAUCACUGGGCGUAAAGGGCGCGUAGGCGGCCGGGCAAGUCUGGUGUGAAAGCCCAGGGCUCAACCCUGGAAGGGCACUGGAAACUGUCUGGCUUGAGUUCCGGAGAGGAGGGGGGAAUUCCCGGUGUAGCGGUGAAAUGCGUAGAUAUCGGGAGGAAUACCGGUGGCGAAGGCGCCCCUCUGGACGGGUACUGACGCUGAGGUGCGAAAGCGUGGGGAGCAAACAGG